UUAAAAGAAGGAGCUCAUCAUCGAAGGAAGCAGUAUGCAGAUGGAUGUAGUCUCCAGGAAUUUGUUGUUAUAAGUGAACUAAAUCAAGUGCUGAUAUAAGGUAGGAUAUGGGUGCUCUCUAUAUCGAUGUAUACAAAGUAUACUGGCCAUCUAUAAUUUCAUUUGUAUAGCUUUUACUGCUAUGCAGAGUGCAAAGUGGUAAAGGCAAUGGAGUUAAUAAUCUAGAGCAGGACUGCCAUCAGAUAUUUUGGGGCCCCUACUACUGCUCAAGGUCUGGUCCCCCGUGGGCCUGGCUCCAAGCCCGCCCCCAAAUCCCACCCAUAGGAAUACACACACAGACACAAACGCACGCACUGAUACAAAAAGAACACAGAUACACACACACACAGGAGCGUAUUAGCCGCGAGGCAAACAAGGCAUUUGCCUUGGGCGGCAUUUUUCUGGGGGCGGCAAAAAACGCCGCCCCCAAAUGCCCAGGGCAAAUGCCUAGUUAGCCUUGCGGCUAACUGACAUCCCGAGCGGGCGGCGCUGGCAGGCGGGCGGCUGGCGAGGGAGCACUUCCUAUGGGCUCUCUUCUCAGCUCCCUCGCGCGCCGCAGAGUGAGGCUGGGAGCCGGAAGAUGACGUCAUAUCCCGGCUCCCAGCCUCACUCUGCAGCCGGCGCGCGAGGGAGCUGAGCAGUCAGCUCAUAGGAAGUGCUCCCUCGCCAGCCGCCCGCCUGACCUGCAGCCACCGGACCACCAGGGAUAGAGACCCCCCCCCAGCACUCCCAAAGGUAAGGAGGUUGGGGGGGGAUUUAAAUUUAAAAAAAAAGUUAAUGUGUGUGUUUGUGUCUGACUGUGUUUGUGAGUGUGUUUGUGUGUGACUGUGUGUGUGUGUGACUGUGUGUGUGUUUGUGUCUGACUGUUUGUGUCUGUGUAUGUGUCUGACUGUGUGUGUGUGUGUGUGUGUGUUUGUGUCUGUGUGACUGUGUGUGUGUUUGUGUCUGUGUGUGUGACUGUGUGUGUGUGUUUGUCUGUGUCUGUGUUUGUGUCUGUCUGUGUUUGUGUCUGACCGUGUGUGUGUGACUGUGUGUGUGUCCGUGUAUGUGUCUGACUGUGUGUCUGACUGUGUGUGUGUGUAUGUGUCUGACUGUGUGUGUGUGUGUAUGUGUCUGACUGUGUAUGUGUAUGUGUCAGACUGUGUGUGUGUUUGUGUCUGACUGUGUGUGUGUUUGUGUCUGUGUUUGUGUGUUUGUGAGUGUGUGCGCGUGUGUCUGACUGUAUGUGUGUGUGUUUGUGUCUGACUGUGUGUGUGUCUGACUGUGUGUGUGUGUGUUUGUCUCUGACUGUGUUUGUGUCUGACUGUGUGUGUUUGUGUCUGACUGUGUGUGUCUCUGACUGUGUGUGUGUUUGUGUCUGACUGUGUGUGUGUGUUUGUGUCUGACUGUGUGUGUGUGUAUUUAGAAGGUGGGGCGGGGGGGAGGGUUGGGUGGGGGUGGCGCGGGGGGAGGGGGGCGCCUGAGUUUUGUCCUGCCUAGGGCAGCACAAAACCAGGAUACACCACUGCACACACAUACAUACUAACAGACACACAUACUGAAACAGACAUACAGGCAUACAUACUGACACAUACAUACUGAAACAGACACAGACAUACAUAGUGACACACAGACACAUACUAACAUACAUACACACACACACACACACAUAAGGACAUACAUACACACACACAUACAUACUGACAUAAACACACAUACAUACAUUCUGCAAUACAUACACAUACAGACACAUACAUACUGCCAUACAUACACAUACAUACAUACAUACAUACUGAAAUACAUACACAUACAUACAGAUAUACAUAUACACAUACGCAUACAUACACAUAUACAUACAUACAGAUACAUACAUACUGACAUACAUACAUACAUACAUAAAAACUGACAUACAUACAUGCAUACUGACAUACAUACAUACUGACAUACACACAUAGCUAAUUUUUCUUUGCAUGAGUGUGGCUGGGGGUGAUGGGAGUCGGCAGACUCUCCCGUCCUCACGGCCUGUCUCUCUUUCUCCUCCCACAUGGAGUGAGCUGGGAGGAAGUGUCACUUCCUCCUAGCAGUACUUGUGACUGCAAUUUUUUGAAAGGGGCCGACCGGGACCCUGAGGAUGUAGAGCCCAUCGGGUGGCACUAAAUGCUUGGGCCCACCUGAUGGGCCCUAUCAACGUGCGGGUCCCGGUGCAGCUGCACCGGCGGCUGUUCCGCCACUACACGUGGGGCCCAGGCGGAUGGGCCCCACAAGGCUGACGGGCCCGUGAAAACCAUCAUGGUUGUCACCUCCAGAUGGCGGCCCUGGUCUAGAGUAUAACAAUCAUUAUUUUGGGACUAUAGUUUCCCUUCGAUCACCCCAUUUGCAUUUUAAAAGGUAAGUUAGAUAAAGAUUACUUACCAACUUUCCUAUGCCGGGACUCUGCCUGCUCCACUUUUGAAGACGUCCCAGAUGAAUCUGUCCCUUGGCUCAACAUUGGCAUGUAUUAUUAUUUUUUUGUGUACUAAAAUAAAGUAAAUAUUAUUACUUAUGUAAAGGACAGAUCGAAUUUUGUAGUCCAUAUUUAUAGCUUUAGUAUAAAUACAGUUAUUCAAGGGUGGUGGGAAUAAAAAACAAAUCAACAUUAUAUUCACACUUUUGCCUCUAAAACUGUGUAAACAGCUACUAUAGCUAAAAAUAACAGGAUUUCAUCUGUAUUUUUCUUUUUUUUUUUGCGAUUACAGGUCAGAUAUUACAAGGAGUGCAUCACUGAUAAAAACAGCUAAAUAUUUUCAAAACGUCGUUUUUUUUUAGUCUAUAGGUAUAAGAACAGUCCAAAACCACCCACACAAAAGCAGGGCCAAGGGUCAGUCUGACCUUGGUGUAGGACAGGGAUAGGCAACCUUCAGUACUCCAGAUGUUAUGAACUGCACUUCUCCUGAUACUUUGCCAGCAUAAUGGCUGCAAAAGCAUUGUCGGAGAUAUAGUACACAACAUUAAGAGUGCCAAAGGUGUAUGAUUUCUUUAGGCGCUUAUGUGGAUGUGGUUAAAGUCUUUCCAUACCCUUUUUUAUGCCUGCAUCUCUUUGGGGUUAUUGAUGACACCAAGAAAAUGUUAGCAAAAAUAACAAAGCUGUUACUAUAUCUGAGUUUGAUAUUUACUAUUUGACCAAAGUGUCAUGUAAGCAGCUUAGUGGCUAACACUGUAGGUUCGGGGCAUGCAAUUAGAUGGGUCAGUGUAAAUUGGUCUCUGGGUAGGAACAUGUGUGGUUGCAUCUGAGUUGAUGGGUGGUGGGGGCAAGUUGCACAUUGGUUAGAUGGCUGAAUGUGACAAGGUAGAUGUAAAUGAGUCGCUAUGUGAAUGCAUCUAAUUUGGGAUAUGUGAUUAAAUGUUGAAUUUGACAGAGUGGGUGGUGGAAAGUGGCAUGAUUCUUGUUUAAUGAGUGUACAUGACUGGGAGGAAAGGAUGGUAUGUAAGAGGUGGAUGUGUUUACAGUAACUGAUAGGUGACCUGUAGUGUAUGCAGGGCCGGCGCUACCUGUUAGGCGGACUAGGCAGCCGCCUAGGGCGCCCCUUGGGAAGGGGUGCCGCCAGGAGCGCCGGCCCCACCAUGCUGCAGCUGCCCGAGCGCUCUGUAGAGAGCCUCAGGAGGCUGCAGCUUUGCCCGGGCGGUGCGUCCAUGAGGGCGGACCGCACCGCCCGCGCGCAGCCUGAGGAAAGGGGCUGACAGGAGGGAAGCGCUCAGCGCUCCCUCCUGUCAAUACCUCUCUGUAGCGUGGCCGAGCCCUGUAUCAUGGUCCACAGAUACAGGGAGCAUCUGUCUCCUGUACCCGGCCGGACUAACAGGAGUGUGCACUUCCUGUUAGUCCGGCCGGGUACAGGAAACAAAAGCUACCUGUACCCUCGGACUAUACUGGGCUCGGCCNNNNNNNNNNNNNNNNNNNNNNNNNNNNNNNNNNNNNNNNNNNNNNNNNNNNNNNNNNNNNNNNNNNNNNNNNNNNNNNNNNNNNNNNNNNNNNNNNNNNCACACAGAAAAACACACAAUGCAUUACACGCACAGACACACACACACAAACAAUGCAACCCUUACACACAAUGCAUUCCUUACACACACUCAAUGCACCCCUUACACACACUCAAUGCACCCCUUACACACGCACACACUGCAUCCUUUACAUACACUGAAACACACCUUGCAGCCCUUACACAGACAAACACAGAUUCACACAAUGCAUUCCUUACACACAUAUCAGGACAUCCCCUACACACUCCACCCCCUGUGAACAAACUCAUUGGUGGAACAUGAAGGUGGACCCUGGGACCCAGACCUUGAGCUGUGUAAAGGGCCCCCCAAAAAAAUGGAGCUGCUUACCGUUCUCCCAGAACAUUGAUUUUUGUGACCACAGUUACAAACAGCCUCCAGAGAGCCUGUUCUACACCAGACCAGUGGAGCCAGACUGCAGCUAGAGCCCAUCAUCAUCCUCAUCUCGUUGUAAGUAGGGAAUCUAAUAUAUUAUUCGUGUCACUAAUCUCCAAUUUACCUCACAUUAAAGAAACACUAUAGUCCCCAGAACCACUGCAGCUUAAUGUAGUUGUUCUGGUGUCUAUAGCCUGUCCCUGCAUGCCUUAUAAUGUAAGCACGGCGGCACUGCAGCACUGGCGUUAGUUAACAUGGCAGAUCAUAUGGGUGGAGCAUUGUGAUGUCACAUGGGGGGGGGGCGGCAAACUUUACUUUUGCCUAGGGCGGCAAAAAUCCUUGCACCGGCCCUGAGUGUAUGCAAUACUAAUAUGCUCUAAGUAUAUUGGAAGUGAAUUGUUUUUUUUGUAGGUCGGGUGUAAGUGACUGGUUGAUGACUUAGUGUUAUAAAAACAGGAUGAAUGGCUGUAAGUGACUGGGAGUGAGUGAGGAUGCACAGAGUGUGUGUAUGUGUCUGGAGCUUGGGGGGAGGAUGUGCAGAGUGUGUGUAUGUGUCUGGAGCUUGGGGGAGGAUGUACAUAGUGUGUGUAUGUGACUGGAGCUUGGGGGAGGAUGUGCAGAGUGUAUGUAUCUGACUGGAGCUUGGGGGGAGGAUGUGCAGAGUGUGUGUAUGUGUCUGUAGCUUGGGGGGAGGAUGUGCAGAGUGUGUGUAUGUGACUUGAGCUUGGGGGAGGAUGUGCAGAGUGUAUGAAUCUGACUGGAGCUUGGGGGGAGGAUGUGCAGAGUGUGUGUAUGUGACUGGAGCUUGGGGGAGGAUGUGCAGAGUGUGUGUAUGUGACUGGAGCUUGGGGGGAGGAUGUGCAGAGUGUGUGUAUGUGACUGGAGCUUGGGGGGAGGAUGUGCAGAGUGUGUGUAUGUGACUGGAGCUUGGGGGAGGAUGCCUAUGGUGGGUUAAAGGCAAUCUGUCACCUCAAGACUAUUUUAAAUAUUGCAAUCAUUUCAUCAAUCUUUAAAUAAAAUAGAUUUUUAUUUUUUUUUAACAACAUAUAUUGUAUAAAAAAAUGAGAAAGCCUUAUCCUUACAUUUAGGAUAUGACAAGAUGUUUCAGCCAUAUACAUGCACCUUGGGUCAUACAGUGUUUGAAAACAGUUAGUCUCUAUAGUGUUUCCUGCUUCUGUCAGUUAUAAAACACAAAUACAGGGAGAGAACUUUGUGGGACCUGAUAAUAUUUCUUACAUUUUCAAAUUAUUUUAAUAAUAUAACAAAUCAUUAUGUAUAUUUUUGUAUCACAAUGAAAUGAUAUAUUUUUUCUUUUAUUUAGAGUCCUAUCAAGAUCAAGUCACAUAAGGACAUGAGGAAUAAGCUAAAACUGGAACUGAAGAAACAUCCGGUUUAAACAUACAUAUGAUAAGAUAGACUUUACAAAAGCAUACAUAAAACAGACAUGGAAAAUGUAAUACGUAAACUAUGGUGAAUCACAAAUAACACGAUUAUUUUAACGGUGACACUUGGAAGAGAUUACUUUGUAUAAAGACAUUUCUCUUUUCUAAAGCUUUUAUGAAUUUUGCACAUUACAACAUUGGCUAUGGAUACUAUGUUUGAUGAAAUAAUGGGUUUAUAGCUUGUGAAAACAAAGGGUGUAGUAAAUUGUAAAAAUGACACAAAACUUCCUCAAUUGAGAGAUGUAUAUAAUUAUACCCCUCACCCACCCCUCAAGCCCCCCAAAAAGAGGAAGCACAAAUAUAGUGCACUAUUGUAAGGUAUCUAGAGUACAAAGUGAUGAAGCUAUACAUUUCCACUCAAAUACAUGGACCCUUUUGCAGAAUCCACUUUACUUAAUAGUGAAUGGAACAAAUUUAUUCAAGCAAAUAAAAUACAAUAUAAAAACAACUAAAUAGCUAUACAACAUAUAGUCCUCAGUAACCCAAUGCAUUUCGCGGGAUGUACAGCUUCAUCAGUUGGUUAAUUAUGCUGUCCAUGGGAGUCUCUUAUAAAACACUUGCAAUUUGAAGAUGCAAUCAUCAUUUCCUACCAAUCAGUGCAAAGUAUGGGCAAUGAACUGGCAUUCGUCUCAUAUUGUUGUUUAUUUGACGUUUACUGCAAGUGACUUGCAAGAAGAGUGAAAUCAGCCGGCAAGCACCUGAGGUCAGUGACGUCACUGGGGGGUGCAUGGCCCCCCCUACAUCAUGCAGUACCCCCCCCAAUUGAAAUUGAAGUCAGGAGCACUGUGUCUCCCUUCACAAGCUGCAGGGGCACUGUUACUGGUGGACUUUUUCCACUUGCGGCCAGAGGGGGCACUGGGCUGGGAGGACUCCUCCUGGGUCAUAGAGAACAGCACAGGGGAGAGACCAGGAGAGGAAUCUCAGCUCUGCACAGAAGCAUCCAGGCAGCUCCUGUUAAGUUUUAAUCAGUCUCUCUGUGUGUGGGGAGGUCAGUCUGUCUGUGUGGG
rnacentral:lncRNA from 1 species